GAGUUUUGAGUCUUCCUCUUCUUUGCCUUAUCUUGUGAGCUAUGGUGAGCUUCAAGUGGUGGCACUCCAUCACUUAUCUUGGUUCAAGGUUCCAAGUGGCGUGAAUGGCUUCUUCCAAUUCUCAAAAUCCAGCAAGCAUCUUCUUCUAUAAGUGUUCUUCUUCCUUUUCUUCAAUUUCCAUUUGGUAGCUUAAUUUCCUAGUGUUUUCCUUCAUUUUUCUACCGUUUACAUUUCUGUUUUCAGCUUGGUUUCCAUUUAUUCUAUUUGGUUCAGUAGCUAGCUUUUCAAUUCUGUCCAGUUUUUAAUUCUUG
rnacentral:lncRNA from 1 species